AUUGAACGCUGGCGGCAGGCCUAACACAUGCAAGUCGAACGGUAACAGGAAGCAGCUUGCUGCUUUGCUGACGAGUGGCGGACGGGUGAGUAAUGUCUGGGAAACUGCCCGAUGGAGGGGGAUAACUACUGGAAACGGUAGCUAAUACCGCAUAACGUCGCAAGACCAAAGAGGGGGACCUUAGGGCCUCUUGCCAUCGGAUGUGCCCAGAUGGGAUUAGCUAGUAGGUGGGGUAACGGCUCACCUAGGCGACGAUCCCUAGCUGGUCUGAGAGGAUGACCAGCCACCCUGGAACUGGGACCCGGUCCAGACUCCUACGGGAGGCAGCAGGGGGGAAUUUUGCACAAUGGGCGAAAGCCUGAUGCAGCCAUGCCGGGGUUAUGAAGAAGGCCUUCGGGUUGUAAAGUACUUUCAGCGGGGAGGAAGGGAGUAAAGUUAAUACCUUUGCUCAUUGACGUUCCCCGCAGAAAAAGCCCCGGCUAACCCCGG
rnacentral:rRNA from 1 species